rnacentral:antisense_RNA from 1 species
GAAGCUCAAGCGGAGCCCGCUGGCCGCAGGGGCCGCACCACGCCCCAGACCCCGGAGUUUGCGGGUGCGCAGACCCUUGCCCUCAGCAGAGGCUGCCGCUGCGCGUCCCCUAAGCGCGGAAGAGGCGGCUGGUGGUCCCCGACGGCAAGGUUUUAUACAUUACGAAUAAAGCUGGCACGUUUCCAUUUCUCCUGGGCAAAUAUUUAGAAGAAAAGUUGCUAGGUAAUUGGUGGAGACAAGGUUUCGCCACAUUGACUGGGCUGGUCUCGAACUCCUGAGCUCAAGCAACCCGCCCUCCUUGACCUCCCAAAGUGCUAGGAUUACAGGUGUGAACCACCGUGCCCCGCCCUACUUUCUAUGAAGUAGAAUGGGUAGAUCACAUUAUUAUUAACAGCAUAUGGGAAGAGGGAGGUCCUCCCAUGUUACAUUGUUCUCCCUUCACCUUCUGGGUCAUGUUGCACCACUGUUUCCCUUCUAGCCAUAUCCCAGGGGGCCUUGUCCCAUUUAUACAGCUCCAUUCUAGUGGCCACCAGAGGAAUGGGAGUAAUCUGAUUGAAAGAUAAGAUACAAGAUUGUACUCUCUUUUUUUUUGGAGACAGAGUCACCCAGGUUGGAAUGCAGUGGCAUGGUCAUGGCUCACCGCAGUCUCAAACUCCUGGGCCCAAGUGAUCCUCCCACUCAGCCUCCUGAGUAGCUGGGACUACAGGCACAUGCAACCACAUGCAGCUAUUUUUUUAAAAAUUUUCUGUAGAGACGGGGUCUCACUGUGUUGCUCAGUUUGUCUCAAACUCCUGGGCUCAAGUGAUCCUCCUGCCUUGGCCUCACAAAGUACUAGGGUUACAGGCAUGAGUCACCACGCUCAGCUGAACUCUACUCUUGAUGUUCAGGAAAGCACUGGAGAAGAGAGAGGACAAGAGAAACAGGUCCGUGGUGCCAGGAGCCUAGGAAUAGAGCAGGCCUUCAGUCUUGGUGAAAAAAUAAAUGGUAUUCUAAGCCUUC